CGGGCAGUAGCGCAGCCUGGUUAGCGCACGUGUCUGGGGGACACGGGGUCGGAGGUUCAAAUCCUCUCUGCCCGACCA
rnacentral:tRNA from 4 species